rnacentral:lncRNA from 10 species
CAGACAUGCCUUGUAUUCUAGUGGAUGGAUCACCACUCCUACCCCCUCCUCCUCUUACAGACUGUGCAUUUACCCUGUUUAGAAAAGUUUAAGUCUUAGCCAGUCAGGAUCAGUUUAGAUUGUGCAGUCCAACCCUAGACACAGGGACAGGAACUGCAUUAGGGAUAAAAACCACUUCUCUCCUUUGUUCAGUGUGCUCUUGCAAUCGUAACUGAUGCAGGCAGCACCCUUCUGCAGAAGCAAAUUGCCUUGCUGAGAAAAAUUUUGCGUAAGUGCUGGUUCUUCCCUGCAGCACCGAGCAUUUGUUUCCAACAAGCCUGGGGGCUCAUCUGGGAUUCCCAUUCUCCUCCAGGGAAGGGUCUCAGAUCACCUCUUGUGGGGAGAUACAUCCAGCUGCCUCAUUGUGGUGGUCUCAGGGGUAAGGAAUCGAGACCCAACCAGCGUGACAAAUAAACAUGGAUCCUCAGCAACAUGGGAAGAAAAGGCCUACAGAUACCGGGGUGACCAGGUAACUCUAUGCACAGACCAAGGUGUUGGCGAUACAGUGAUGAAUUACACAGACAUUGACUGCAUCAGUUUGAUAUAAAUAAGUAACCCAUGUUACGAUGGAGAACCAUCUCCACUGCAUGCCUGAAAAUACUUUCCAAAAACAUCUGUUGAUCAUUGGUUGUCUGUUCAUAAUUAAGAGAGAAAAACUAAAAGCAAUUUGAAGAUUUUAUAACAUGGACAGGAGGGCUUGGGAAAUAGUGAAGAUCCCCUAUUUGGAGUGGGAAAAGAUAUUACCUUGGAUUUGCCCAGUACAAGUUCCUAACAUAUUCUGAAACAUUCCAGAAAUAAGAGGCUGCCUCCAUGAACAUUUUUUUAGCCAGUACUCUUUACGGUAAAAACAAGAAAUUUGGACACACAAAGAAAAGACACCAAGUGCACGAGUACCCAGAAGGACAACCAUGUGAAGAGGCAGUGAGAAGGUGCCACCUGCAAGCCCAGGAGAGAAGUUGCCACCUGCAAGCCCAGGAGAGAAGUUUUGGAAGAAACCACACCUGCUGACACCUUGGUCUCCAACUUCCAGUCCCAGAGUGAGAAGAAAAUAAAUUUCUGUUAUUUUUACCACCCAGUCUGUGAUCAUUUGUUACGGCACGUCUAGCAAACUAAUGUAGUCUUCCAGUAGGCUUUA